CGUCAUCACCAUCUCCCCGUCUUCUCUCCUCUCACUGUCGCCAUCAUCCCCAUCUCGCCGCCGUCAUCGCUUCGAAGAUCAAAUUCUAGGGUUCACUGAUGGUGCUCCUUGGCCGUGUCCGAUCCAUGCUUCUCAGGCAAAGACCACCAGUGCUUAUGUUAAGGUGAGUGAGGAUCUUUGCAGCGAGGUUUCAUUGUGUUCCGUUCUUCUCGUGCGCAGCUUUGGAGUUUGUGGAAUUGUUUGUCGGAGUUGGUGCUCCGAUGAGGCCGUCAGUAUCCCGCCGUGAUGCUAUAUCUGGACGGAUCAUCUCCUUGCAUUUGAAUGCUUUCUCGUUCUCUGGCUUUCUUUCUUUCGUGUUAACCCUAGAAAACCUAAUCUAUUGAUUACCUUGGUUUUGUCGAUGGUUCAGCAUUUCUGAUAUUGGGGACUUGAGGCUUAGAUUUCCAUUCCUUGGCUUCCUCAUUAGAAUGAAAAAAAUCCUUCAUUUUCCAAUGGAGAAUAGCACUUUGAAACCAAUGGACUCAGAGCAGUUGAGGGAGUAUGGUCAUCAAAUGGUUGAUUUCAUUGCAGAUUACUACAAAACAAUUGAAUCUUUCCCUGUUCGUAGCCAAGUUAAGAUGAGCAUGAUGAGGAUAAAAACCAGGGUAUCUAAAAGAACUGUUGCCUGAUUCAUCCCCAAAACAUCCAGAAAGUUUGCAAGAUGUUAUAAAUGAUGUCAGUCAAAAAAUAAUCCCUAGUGUAACUCAUUGGCAAAGUCCUGACUAUUUUGCUUAUUAUCCAUCUAAUAGCAGCACUGUUGGAUUUUUAGGGAAAUGCUCAGUGCUAGUUUUAAUAUAGUAGGUUUCAGUUGGGUGACCUCUCCUACUGCUACAGAGCUAGAAGUGAUUGUUUUAGAUUGGCUUGCUAAGAUGCUAAAACUUCCCAAUGAAUUUUUUUAGUAUUUGUAAUGUUCAUGUUCAAUUGUAAAAACCUAAUUGUAGCCAUGUAUGCUUCAGGUGAAUUAAGACCAAGUCAGUCAAUGAAUGAAUUGCGACUUGAAUUAUUGUUA